rnacentral:rRNA from 1 species
AACGAACGCUGGCGGCAUGCCUAACACAUGCAAGUCGAACGAGACCUUCGGGUCUAGUGGCGCACGGGUGCGUAACGCGUGGGAAUCUGCCCUUGGGUUCGGAAUAACAGCGAGAAAUUGCUGCUAAUACCGGAUGAUGACGUAAGUCCAAAGAUUUAUCGCCCAAGGAUGAGCCCGCGUAGGAUUAGCUAGUUGGUGAGGUAAAGGCUCACCAAGGCGACGAUCCUUAGCUGGUCUGAGAGGAUGAUCAGCCACACUGGGACUGAGACACGGCCCAGACUCCUACGGGAGGCAGCAGUGGGGAAUAUUGGACAAUGGGCGAAAGCCUGAUCCAGCAAUGCCGCGUGAGUGAUGAAGGCCUUAGGGUUGUAAAGCUCUUUUACCCGGGAUGAUAAUGACAGUACCGGGAGAAUAAGACUCCGGCUAACUCCGUGCCAGCAGCCGC